rnacentral:rRNA from 1 species
UACGUAGGGUGCAAGCGUUGUCCGGAAUUAUUGGGCGUAAAGAGCUCGUAGGCGGUUCGUCGCGUCGGCUGUGAAAACCCGGAGCUCAACUCCGGGCCUGCAGUCGAUACGGGCGGACUUGAGUGUUGCAGGGGAGACUGGAAUUCCUGGUGUAGCGGUGAAAUGCGCAGAUAUCAGGAGGAACACCGGUGGCGAAGGCGGGUCUCUGGGCAACUACUGACGCUGAGACACGAAAGCGUGGGUAGCAAACAGG